AAGUCGUAACAAGGUUUCCGUAGGUGAACCUGCGGAAGGAUCAUUACCAAGUUUAAUCCAAAAAACACUCAACCCAUGUGCACUAUGAUUUGUCUGUCUUUGGGGUGGAGGAAUCGGGGGUUUAAUAACUCUCGCUGAUUUCACCCCACAUGUGUAAACAUCCUUUCUAUUUUGUAUUGGCAUCUAUUUGUCUUAAUAAAUAAAUAGACAACUUUUAACGGUGGAUCUCUUGGCUCGUG
rnacentral:misc_RNA from 1 species